AAAUUGAAGAGUUUGAUCAUGGCUCAGAUUGAACGCUGGCGGCAGGCCUAACACAUGCAAGUCGAACGGUAACAGGAAGCAGCUUGCUGCUUCGCUGACGAGUGGCGGACGGGUGAGUAAUGUCUGGGAAACUGCCUGAUGGAGGGGGAUAACUACUGGAAACGGUGGCUAAUACCGCAUAACGUCGCAAGACCAAAGAGGGGGACCUUCGGGCCUCUUGCCAUCAGAUGUGCCCAGAUGGGAUUAGCUUGUUGGUGAGGUAACGGCUCACCAAGGCGACGAUCCCUAGCUGGUCUGAGAGGAUGACCAGCCACACUGGAACUGAGACACGGUCCAGACUCCUACGGGAGGCAGCAGUGGGGAAUAUUGCACAAUGGGCGCAAGCCUGAUGCAGCCAUGCCGCGUGUAUGAAGAAGGCCUUCGGGUUGUAAAGUACUUUCAGCGGGGAGGA
rnacentral:rRNA from 2 species